GCCAGACUCCUACGGGAGGCAGCAGUGGGGAAUAUUGGGCAAUGGGCGCAAGCUUGACCCAGCGACGCCGCGUGAAUGAAGAAGGCUUUCGGGAUGUAAACUUCUUUUAGGAGGGAAGAGCAGAGGACGGUACCUCUUGAAUAAGCCACGGCUAACUACGUGCCAGCAGCCGCGGUAAUACGUAGGUGGCAAGCGUUGUCCGGAUUUACUGGGUGUAAAGGGCGUGCAGCCGGGAAGACAAGUCAGAUGUGAAAUGCCGCGGCUCAACCGCUGAACUGCAUUUGAAACUGUUGUUCUUGAGUACCGGAGAGGUCAGCGGAAUUCCUUGUGUAGCGGUGAAAUGCGUAGAUAUAAGGAAGAACACCAGUGGCGAAGGCGGAUGACUGGACGGCAACUGACGGUGAGGCGCGAAAGCGUGGGGAGCAAACAGGAUUAGAUACCCGAGUACU
rnacentral:rRNA from 1 species